ACGCACGCUGGCGGCGUGCCUAAUCCAUGCCAGUCGAACGCUUCUUUCCUCCCGAGUGCUUGCACUCAAUUGGAAAGAGGAGUGGCGGACGGGUGAGUAACACGUGGGUAACCUACCCAUCAGAGGUGGAUAACACUUGGAAACAGGUGCUAAUACCGCAUAACAGUUUAUGCCGCAUGGCAUAAGAGUGAAAGGCGCUUUCGGGUGUCGCUGAUGGAUGGACCCGCGGUGCAUUAGCUAGUUGGUGAGGUAACGGCUCACCAAGGCCACGAUGCAUAGCCGACCUGAGAGGGUGAUCGGCCACACUGGGACUGAGACACGGCCCAGACUCCUACGGGAGGCAGCAGUAGGGAAUCUUCGGCAAUGGACGAAAGUCUGACCGAGCAACGCCGCGUGAGUGAAGAAGGUUUUCGGAUCGUAAAACUCUGUUGUUAGAGAAGAGCAAGGACGUUAGUAACUGAACGUCCCCUGACGGUAUCUAACCAGAAAGCCACGGCUAACUACGUG
rnacentral:rRNA from 1 species